AGGAAGGAGGCUCAGCUGAUAGGCUGUGCUUACUGGCCCUGGAAGAGAGGCUCUGAGCACUCUAACCCUGAGCUAAGGGGAGAAGAUGCAGUGCAGUGGCCUUAGCCCUGAGACGGCAACAAGGCUCCUUUAGAAGUCCAAGAGAUGGGCUGGAUUUAAAGGACCCAGAGCUGGGGCUGAAGACCUGGUGAGGGCAGUUUGGUGAUCUUUCUGCUACUCUGGUAGGGGUCCAUAUUGACUGUGUGACCCGGCUGGAGGGCUGAGCUAGUGAAGAUUUGCCUAGUGAGGCUGGCAACCUACAGGAGGAGCCAGGAGCAGGAAAAAGAUUGCAAUACUGCACCCAGCUGCUAGGAGGCACUUAAGGUUCCCACAGCCUGCCUGCUUUUCCGUGGCGAGCUCUGGACCACGGAAUUGCUCACCAGCCUAGAAGAUGAUAGAGGCAAGAUGGAAUUAAAACAAACAUUGACAGUUUGCCAUGAGGACUACUCUGGGCUAUGCGGCUCCUCCUAGCUAAAAGCAGACCCAGGAAUAAACAAAAAGGAAGCCAUUCAUCCUGAAAGAGGUCAGCUGUUCCUCUCCUGCCAGAGAAUGGCAAGAAACCCUGUUGCCUCAAUUUCAGCUCUCUACAGGAGCACAGUCAUUGUGGACUAAUACAAGAGCAGUCAUUGUGGACUAAUUACUUGUUUUUUAAAAAUGUGAUUUUUAAAGGGUUAAACAGGACUUAUAUAAAAAGUGUUGGGUUUAAAUAGCAAUUAACUAAUGGGUCCUCAAGAUGCAAAACAAGGUGCUUUUCCCCCAGCAGGUGGAUUUGGUUAAUGCUGAUUUAGCAUAAUAAGGAGCUUGCAUUCUCAUCUUUGUUUAUAACCUAAUUUGCU